GGUCCCUUAGUGUAGCGGCUAUCACGUCUGAUUCACCCUCAGAAGGUCUCGAGUUCGAUCCUCGAAGGGAUCA